rnacentral:tRNA from 1 species
GGCCUCGUGGUCUAGUAGAUUCUCGCUUCGGGUGCGAGAGGUCCCGGGUUCGAUUCCCGGUGAGGCCC